rnacentral:rRNA from 1 species
GAGUAACACGUGAGUAACCUGCCCUUAACUCUGGGAUAAGCCUGGGAAACUGGGUCUAAUACCGGAUAUGACUCCUCAUCGCAUGGUGGGGGGUGGAAAGCUUUAUUGUGGUUUUGGACGGACUCGCGGCCUAUCAGCUUGUUGGUGAGGUAAUGGCUCACCAAGGCGACGACGGGUAGCCGGCCUGAGAGGGUGACCGGCCACACUGGGACUGAGACACGGCCCAGACUCCUACGGGAGGCAGCAGUGGGGAAUAUUGCACAAUGGGCGCAAGCCUGAUGCAGCGACGCCGCGUGAGGGAUGACGGCCUUCGGGUUGUAAACCUCUUUCAGUAGGGAAGAAGCGAAAGUGACGGUACCUGCAGAAGAAGCGCCGGCUAACUACGUGCCAGCAGCCGCGGUAAUACGUAGGGCGCAAGCGUUAUCCGGAAUUAUUGGGCGUAAAGAGCUCGUAGGCGGUUUGUCGCGUCUGCCGUGAAAGUCCGGGGCUCAACUCCGGAUCUGCGGUGGGUACGGGCAGACUAGAGUGAUGUAGGGGAGACUGGAAUUCCUGGUGUAGCGGUGAAAUGCGCAGAUAUCAGGAGGAACACCGAUGGCGAAGGCAGGUCUCUGGGCAUUAACUGA